rnacentral:lncRNA from 1 species
GUCCCACUAUCUCCGGCUCUCCUUCCUGCAUUUGUGGGCAUUUCCAAUGUCGAAUUCGAUCGGAUCGGUUGCCCUUUGGCAUCAAACAUCGCCAGAUUGGUGCUCUUCCGAGUUGCUGUGCUCCUCCGACAUCAAGCACCGUCAGACCGAUGCAAUAUUGAGCUGUCGUGCACCUCCCAUGUCAAACCGUGCUGGACCAGUAAUUUCCCAAACUCCUUUGCACCUCCCAGCAUCAAACCACGCUGGACUCUGAUCGGAUUGGUUGCCCUCUCGCAUCAAACAUCGCCAGGUCGGUGCUCUUUCGAGCUGCUGUGCUCCUCCGACAUCAAGCACCGUCAGACCGAUGCAAUAUCGAGCUAUCGUGCACCUCCCACGUCAAACCAUGCUGGACCAGUAAUUUCCCAAACUCCCUUGCACCUCCUGGCAUCAAACCAUGCUGGACCGAAGUCUAUCACAUUCCUAUGCACCUUCCGACGUCAAACCCACU